AUUGAACGCUGGCGGCAGGCCUAACACAUGCAAGUCGAACGAGUGGCGGACGGGUGAGUAAUGUCUGGGAAACUGCCUGAUGGAGGGGGAUAACUACUGGAAACGGUAGCUCAUACCGCAUACCAUCGGAUGUGCCCAGGUGGGAUUAGCUAGUAGGUGGGGUAACGGCUCACCUAGGCGACGAUCCCUAGCUGGUCUGAGAGGAUGACCAGCCACACUGGAACGGAGACACGGUCCAGACUCCUACGGGAGGCAGCAGUGGGGAAUAGUGAACAAUGGGCGAAAGCCUGAUGCAGCCAGGCAGCGGGUAUGAAGAAGGCCUUCGGGUUGUAAAGUACUUGCAGCGGGGAGGCGUUACCCGCAGAAGAAGCACCGGCUAACUCCGUGCCAGCAGCCGCGGUAAUAC
rnacentral:rRNA from 1 species